AUUGAACGCUGGCGGCAGGCCUAACACAUGCAAGUCGAGCGGGGUUUUCGGACCUAGCGGCGGACGGGUGAGUAAUGCGUAGGAAGCUACCCGAUAGAGGGGGAUACCAGUUGGAAACGACUGUUAAUACCGCAUAAUGUCUACGGACCAAAGUGUGGGACCUUCGGGCCACAUGCUAUCGGAUGAGCCUACGUGGGGUUGGUUAGUUGGUGAGGUAAUGGCUCACCAAGGCGACGAUCCCGAGCUGGUUUGAGAGGAUGAUCAGCCAGACUGGAGCUGGAACACGGUCCAGACUCCUGCCGGAGGCAGCAGUGGGGGAUAUAUGACAAAGGGCGCAAGCCUGAUCCAGCCAUGCCGCGUGUGUGAAGUGGGCCUUCGUGUCGUACAGCACUUUCAGUAGGGAGGAAGCGUUGUGUGUUUAUAGUACACAGCGUUGAAGUUAGCUACAGAAGAAGCACCGGCUAACUCUCUGCCAGCCGCCGCGGUAACAC
rnacentral:rRNA from 1 species